rnacentral:rRNA from 1 species
UACGUAGGCAGCGAGCGUUGUUCGGAGUUACUGGGCGUAAAGGGUGUGUAGGCGGUUGUUUAAGUUUGGUGUGAAAUCUCCCGGCUCAACUGGGAGGGUGCGCCGAAUACUGAAUGACUUGGAGUGCGGGAGAGGUGAGUGGAAUUCCUGGUGUAGCGGUGAAAUGCGUAGAUAUCAGGAGGAACACCGGUGGUGUAGACGGCUCACUGGACCGUAACUGACGCUCAGGAGCGAAAGCGUGGGGAGCGAUCCGG